UUUUUUUUUUAUUUUUUUUUUUUUUGUUAAAUUAUCACUAUAUUAUUCCAGAGUGCAACUGGUAGUUCACAUCAUAGUUCUAUUACUACAUACUUAUAUAAUUACUACAUACUCAUGUCAAUCAAAGUACAUGAAACAGUAUCAAAACAGGAAAAAUUAUCCUACCUUUAUGCUAAAUAGAAGUGAAAUUAGAAUCACAGAACCAUGGCAAGUUUGGUGCCUUGACCACUUCACUGAGGAACCUAUUCCAGGGCCCAAUCACCACCUAAGUGAAGAAUCUUUUUCUGUCAAUGGCACCAGAGUCUGUCCUUCUGCUUCCCUUGUGAGAAAGCUGUAAGCUGCCAUGAGGCCUCUCUUCAGUCUCCUCUUCUCUGGGCUAAACAAACCUAGGGGCUUCAGCUGUUCCUCAUAUAUCUUCUCCUGUAGACCCUUUACCAUCUUUGUUGCUCUUCUUAAACAUUCUAUGAAAACUGUAACAGAUGCUGAAUGUUAGAAGUUAGUAAUACUCUAAACAACACAGAGAUCCAAAAUACAGUAACCACUUUUACAAGCAUGCUGUUAGACUUCCUCUGUCAUAAGCCCUUAACAGUCUCGAAAAGAGUUAAAAGAAUGAGGGAUAGGAAAAAAGUAGGAGCUUAAAAAUCAAAGGGCUUUCAUACUGGUCCAAUGAUAUUGAUUAGUUUUUCUAUUCCUUCCUUUGUUUAUUCCACCACAUGUAUCGAUUUUUUUGUUGUUGUUGUUGUUUCUUUAUCUGUGUGCUGGGUUUUUGUUUGUUUGUUUGUUUGUUUGCUUGUUUUCUUUUCUGCAGCCAUUGUACAUUUGCUGUCUGCUACAAAUCACAAAACAUAGAUUCAAAAAUAAAACGAACUAGCAAAUAAGCCAAGAUUCCAAAUAAGUAUAUCUCUUGGCAUGGAUUAAAAUAGUGUUUUAAAUUGUGCAUUAAAUUUAAAUACAUUAUUACCCGCAUUUUGUAAAACAUUUGCAUACGCAUAUAGCUUCAUCAAAGUAAAUACAAGUUCUCCAGGUCACGGCUGGAACUUUUUGUUGCUACAGUUGCUGCUGGACAGUUGAAGGUAUAGUAGUGAAGAUACUAAGAACAAGAAAAGUUCUUUUCCUCUGUCCAACAUUGUGAAUUUGGGAAGUUUUGGAUUAUUUACAUUCAGCAUUUUAAAAUGGAUAUGAUGCCAUUUAGUCAGGCUUAUGAUCAUUGAUCCAAACAUAAUGGCCAGUCAAUAAGAUAACCAGGAAUAGAUUGCAAGAUCUUGUCUGAAGGUCUUCUCAAGGUCUGACUUUUGCCAUGCAGCUUCUAUAACAACAUAAGGUAAAAAAGGGUGUAAAUAAAUAGAAUAUUAUCUAUGUGUUUUAACUACUUAAAAAUGUAGACAUUUAUAGACCUUUCCAUGUAGCAAAUAUAGCUCAUUCAUCCAUGCUCACAUAUCAAACAUCUUGUAUUUAAAAAGAACCAAGAGUGUGUCUGGACGUUGUUACAGACAAGUUGGGCAUCUAAGAUGUCAUUUACUUUAACUGAUUGCACAGGUAACUUUUAGAUGUCUUCCUUACAUGCCAAUAUUUCUGUUCACAAAAUGCAGUAAAGUGGCAUACAUGUGGUUUCGUUAGAUAUUUUUGAAUAUUAUUUAUUUGUUUUAUUUAUUUUCUUGUCUCAGUGAAGAACACUACUUUCCAGCUGUUCUUGGUGUGUAAAGGGUGUGGUGGUCAUGGGGACACUGAAGGGUGGAAAGAGUGAAAACAGGUAAUUAGUUCCUAUGCCAAAUAAUAAUAAGCGACCAGGAUAGCACAGUUCUGAAUACUGCAGUGGAUUAUAGUUUGUUCUUAUUUUUAAGCAAAUGAGAAAUUAACUCAUUUUAGCUACUCUUAAAAAAAGAUGUGCUUAUUCAAUUUGUUGAAUCUUUAUAAUGACAUUAAAGUUUAGUUAUUAUACUGAAUCAUAGAAUCAUAGAAUGGCCUAGGUUGAAAAGGACCACGGUGAUCAUCUAGUUUCAAUCCCCAUGCCACAGGCAGGGUCUGAAUGCCUCCAGAGAUGCUGCAUCCACAACUUCCAUCAGCAACCUGUUCUAGUGCUUCACCAUCCUCUGUGUGAAAAACUUCCUCCUAAUAUCUAAUCUAAAUCUCCCCAUAAUAGAGUCAUAGAAUCAUAGAAUCAUAAAAUCACAAGGUUGGAAAGGACCUACAAGAUCAUCUAGUCCAACCGUCCACCUAUCACCAUUACUACCACAAGCUACUAAACCAUAUCUCAUAGCUCCUCAUCCAGAUGCCUCUUGAACACGGCCACAGAUGGUAACUCCACCAUUUCCCUGGGCAGGCCAUUCCAGUGCCUGACCACUCUCUGAGAAAAUACUUUUUUCUUAUGUCUAAUUUAAACCUCCUCUGGUACAAUUUGUGGCCAUUUCCUUGUGUCCAGUUUGUUGCCUGGGAGAAGAGGCCAAACCCCUCCUCAUCACAGCCUCCCUUCAGGAAGCUGUAGAGUGCAAUGAGGUCUCCCCUGAGCCUCCUCUUCUCCAGACUGAACAAUCCCAGCUUCCUCAGCCGGCUGAGAGCAGGGGGAUGAUUACCUCCCUGCUCCUGCUGGCUACACUAUUUCCAAUGCGGGCCAGGACAGCAUUGGCCAUCUUGGCCACCUGGGCACACUGUCAGCUCAUGUUCAGCUGAGCAUCAACCAACACCCCCAGGUCCCUUUCCUCUUCACAGUCAUCCAGCCACUCAUCCCCAAGCCUAUAGUGCUGCAUGGGGUUAUUGUGGCCAAAGUGCAGGACCCAGCAAUUGGCCUUGUUGAACCUCACCCCAUUCACCUCAGCCUAGUUAUCCAACUUAUCUAGAUCCCUCUGAAGGGAUUCCCUACCUUCAGGCAGAUCGAUACUACCUCCCAACUUGGUGUCAUCUGCAAACUUACUGAGGGUACACUCAAUCCCUUCAUCUAGGUCAUCAAUAAAGAUAUUAAACAGGAUGAAUCCCAGUAUCGAUCCCUGGGGGACACCACUUGUAACACAUCGCCAGCUGGACCUAACUCCAUUAACUACUACCUACUGGGCAGGACCCUCCAGCCUGUUCCUUACCCAAAGAAGGGUAUACCUGUCCAGGCCACAGGCAACCAGUUUCCCCAGGAGAGUACUGUAGGAGACCGUGUCAAAGGAUUUGCUGAAGUCUAGGUAGACUACAUCAGCAGCCUUUCCCUCAUCUUCCAGUCUGGUCACCCAGUCGUAGAAGGAGAUGAGGUUAGUCAAGCACGACCUGCCUUUCAUGAACCCUUGAUGGCUGGGCCCAAUCCUCUGGUUGCCACGUGCAUGCCAUGUGAUCUCACCCAAGAUGAUUUACUCUAUAACUUUCCCUGGUACCAAGGUCAGGCUGACAGGCCUGUAGUUCCCCGGAUCCUCCUUACGGCCCUUUCUGUAGAUGGGAAUCACAUCAGCAAGCCUCCAAUUCUCUGGGACCUCUCCAGACAAGCAGAAGUGCUAGUAGAUGGCAGAGAGAAGCUCAGCAGUCACCCCCACUAGCUCCCUCAGCAUCCUAAAUUGGAGCCCAUUCAGUUCCAUGGACUUGUGACAGUCCAGAUGGAGGAGGAGCUCCUCCUGAAUCACCGGGGGUGUAUCCUGCGUACCAUCCCAGACUUAGUUUAACACCAUUCCCAUACUGAAACAUAUUCUCCCAGAGGUUUCCACUUGAAGCUCAUUAUUAGCCACGACAUGAUAAAUCAUUUAAGUAUUGUCUCAGUCCAAUUUAUAGGAGGGAGAGGGGGUUCUUUGAUAUAUGUAUACCCAGCAUGAGAUUAAGAAGCAACGGUCCAGAUGUUGGUCCGACCAGUUUAUUACAAAUUUUAAUAAGGGAGAUGGGGAAGGGGAGGACAGAUGAUUUAGGGUAAUAGGGAAGGGAAGGCAGGUGAUAGAAAAGAUAGAAAGAGGCAAGAAUUGCAUAAAGUGGGGAUAGUCACCACCAGAAUCCAGGAGCAGUCCUGUUGAACGAUGUUCCAACAGUCCAGGGCAAAAGCACAAGGGAAGAGCAGCAGCGUCUUGGCCAGUCUUGGGCAGCAAGAAGGUGCAGGUACCGAGUAGGUCCGGGAAGCAGCAGGUCUUCGGUAGCAGAAGAGUCCGUCAGCAUGCAGACCUUCUGUAGUGAGGGAUCUGAUGGCAGACACCUUCGCAGGGGGAAGAGAAGCAGCAGAGAAGCCAGCCUUUGGCAGCAAGCAGGUAGAGCACAGAACAAGUCCAGGAGGGAGAGGCAGGUUGUGAGGCUUCUUAUGUCAGAAACCUUCUUCUUGUUCUUCUUCAGCAUGCAGAUUUCAGGUCAUGAGCAAUCUGUAGUCAGAAACCUCUUUUCAUGAGGAAUCUGUAGUCAGGAAACCUCUUCUUCGUGAGAAAUUUAUUGUCAGAAAAACUAACCUCAUGGUUGUUUGUCCCUUUUUUAUCCUUUUUCUGCCAAUGUGGCAUUUCUGGGUGCUUGGGUAACAGCCAUGUGCAGCACCCCCUGAGAUGGCUAUCUCCCUCAAGAUAAGCCCACAUAAAAGACUGCUUCCUGGCCAUUAAGUUCUGGCUUAUCUCUCUCUCGUUUCCCCUGGCCUUGCCCAUCUGUGUCCCUCAGACAAAGGACUUCUCAACCCUUGACCAGGACUUGCUUGGACUUGUUCAUCUGUGUCCCUCAGCAAGCUUUGAGACAAUGAUGUAAAAGAAUAAUCUAUUACAAGUAUGUAUACACAACUAUGUUAUAAGCAGGUAUAGUGUAACACUGUACCUGUUAAAAAAAAAAAAAAGAAAGAAAAAAA
ensembl:lncRNA